CGAGUACGACCCGUUACGACGGGGAAGUGUCUGAUGUCAGGCUUCCAAGAAAAGCCCGAACCACGUUAAUUCAAAUUGGCCCGUACCCUAAACCGACACAGGUGGGAAGGUAGAGUAUACCCAGGGGCGCGAGAUAACUCUCUCUAAGGAACUCGGCAAAAUGGCCCCGUAACUUCGGGAGAAGGGGUGCCACCGAGAGGUGGUCGCAGUGAAGAGUCCCAGGCGACUGUUUACCAAAAACACAGGUCUCCGCUAAGUCGCAAGACGAUGUAUGGGGGCUGACGCCUGCCCAGUGCCGGAAGGUUAAGGAAGUUGGUCAGGGAGCAAUCCUGAAGCUAGCGACUGAAGCCCCGGUGAACGGCGGCCGUAACUAUAACGGUCCUAAGGUAGCGAAAUUCCUUGUCGGGUAAGUUCCGACCCGCACGAAAGGCGUAACGAUCUGGGAGCUGUCUCGGAGAGAGGCUCGGCGAAAUAGGAAUGUCUGUGAAGAUACGGACUACCUGCACCCGGACAGAAAGACCCUAUGAAGCUUUACUGUAGCUUGGUAUUGGGUUCGGGCUUUGAUUGCGCAGGAUAGGUGGGAGACUAUGAGAUAGCUCUUGUGGGAGUUAUGGAGUCACUGGUGAGAUACCACUCUAUCAAGGCUAGAAUUCUAACUUUGACCCGUUAUCCGGGCGGAGAACAGUAUCAGGUGGGCAGUUUGACUGGGGCGGUCGCCUCCUAAAUGGUAACGGAGGCGUGCAAAGGUUCCCUCAGGCUGGUUGGAAAUCAGCCAUUGAGUGUAAAGGCAUAAGGGAGCUUGACUGCGAGACUGACAAGUCGAGCAGGUACGAAAGUAGGCCUUAGUGAUCCGACGGUUCCGCGUGGAAGGGCCGUCGCUCAACGGAUAAAAGUUACUCUAGGAUAACAGGCUGAUCUCCCCCAAGAGUUCACAUCGACGGGGAGGUUUGGCGCCUCGAUGUCGGCUCAUCGCAACCUGGGGCUGUAGUCGGUCCCAAGGGUUGGGCUGUUCGCCCAUUAAAGCGGUACGUGAGCUGGGUUCAGAACGUCGUGAGACAGUUCGGUCCAUAUCCGGUGCAGGCGUAGGAACAUUGAGAGGAGUCUUCCUUAGUACGAGAGGACCGGGAAGAACGCACCGCUGGUGUACCUGUUAUCGUGCCAACGGUAAACGCAGGGUAGCCAAGUGCGGAGAGGAUAACCGCUGAAAGCAUCUAAGUGGGAAGCCCACCUCAAGAUGAGUGUUCCCAUGGCAAAAGCCAGUAAGGUCACGGGUAGGCCACCCGUUAAUAGGCGCUAGAUGGAAGUCCAGCAAUGGAUGUAGUCGAGGCGUACUAACAGACCGAGGGCUUGAC
rnacentral:rRNA from 1 species